rnacentral:rRNA from 1 species
CGGCGAAAGGGUGAGUAACACGUAACCAACGUACCCCUCAGAUCGGGAUAACCACUGGAAACGGUGGAUAAUACUGAAUGGUCCUAGGAAGGACAUCCUUCCGAAGGUAAACGGCGGCUUCGGCUGCUGUUGAGGGAGCGGGUUGCGUCCUAUCAGCUUGUUGGUGAGGUAACGGCUCACCAAGGCUAUGACGGGUAGCGGGUCUGAGAGGAUGAUCCGCCACACUGGGACUGAGACACUGCCCAGACUCCUACGGGAGGCUGCAGUCGAGAGUCUUCCACAAUGGGCGAAAGCCUGAUGGAGCGACGCUGCGUGUAGGAUGAAGGCCUUAGGGUUGUAAACUACUGUCACGCUAUGGGAACCCGUGUAGGUUAAUAGCCUGCGCGCUGACCGAAGCGAGAGGAAGUGCCGGCUAACUCCGUGCCAGCAGCCGCGGUAAGACGGAGGGCGCAAGCGUUGUUCGGAAUCACUGGGCAUAAAGGGCGCGUAGGCGGCCAGUUCAGUCGGAUGUGAAAUCCCCCGGCCCAACCGGGGAACUGCAUUCGAUACUGACUGGCUAGAGGAUGGUAGGAGCCAAUGGAACUCCAGGUGGAACGGUGAAAUGUGUAGAUAUCUGGAGGAACACCGGUGGCGAAAGCGAUUGGCUGGGCCAUUUCUGACGCUGAGGCGCGAAAGCUAGGGGGGCGAACGGGAUUAGAUACCCCGGUAGUCCUAGCCGUAAACGAUGGGUACUGG